GACGAACCGUGCGAACGUUGUUCGGAUUCACUGGGCUUAAAGGGCGCGUAGGCGGGCGAUCAAGUCAGGGGUGAAAUCUUUCGGCUCAACCGGAAAAGUGCCCCUGAUACUGAUUGUCUUGAGGGAGGUAGGGGCAUGUGGAACUUCCGGUGGAGCGGUGAAAUGCGUAGAUAUCGGAAGGAACGCCGGUGGCGAAAGCGACGUGCUGGAUCUCUUCUGACGCUGAGGCGCGAAAGCCAGGGGAGCAAACGGG
rnacentral:rRNA from 1 species